CUCCUUCUUCCAGAUUUCUUCAGUUCAGACCAGCAGGGGCUUCAACUUCACCACUUCUUCUAUUUUUGGCAGCCAAUACUUAAUCAUUUAACUCUUUUCUAAACUAACCACUUCGAUUUUAAUUUAAAAUGGCAUCAACUUACUUUAAUCUAGGAUCUUAUCAAGUUGAUCUCAGCACCAACAACACCAACAGCAUCAUCUCCCAUCUCGAUUACCUCUCGCAGCUCAGCACAGGGGAGAAUCCAACUCUCUCAAACUUUUUCUCCCUAAACUUGUUCUUAGGGCUGAGAGAAAAGAGAGAGGAAGAAGUUGGAUGUAAUCAAGCUGAUGAAGGGGUUACCUAGCACGUGUACAACUUCCACUCAGCUGGGGUUAAGUGAUAAGCUCAGAAAACUGCAUCUUAACCCCUUAAACUUGCAAAAAUGCAUUGCAGCCUGCAGGUUUACAAUUCAG
rnacentral:lncRNA from 1 species